rnacentral:misc_RNA from 1 species
CCGUGGAGAUUCGUCUCCAUUGGGAUAGCACCCUUUGUUCAUGAGUACCCUCUGUUUCCUCGGCGGGUUCGCCCGCCAGAGGACCGCCACAAACCCUCCUGUAGUAGGCAGUACCUUCAGUAACCCAACAAAAUAUCA